GCGGCCACGCUCACCAAUCACUGCCCGGCCCGGCCGCGGGGGAACGCCCGGUGCACUCCGCGCCUCGCCGCGGUCCGUCGCCCCCCCCUCGCUUCCCGCUGAUGGGACCGCCCGAAGAGCGCUUCAUGGAGUGCUGGAAGGGACCACUAGUCGGGCGGGGGGGAGGCUGAACGGAGCGGAGUGCGGUGCCCUCUGUCCGGAGCACAAUGGGCGGCGGUGGGUGCUCUGCAGCGGCAUGUUGCUGUUUGCUCAGUAGCUGUCCUGACAAAAAACUGCUCCCAGUGCCAGAUGGCAGAUGCAGAAAUGUCUUUACCAUUGAAGACAGCACAACUUGGGCGAGGAACUCAGCAGAGUAUAAAUGCCAGGAAGCUGCUGAACAGCUCAAGGGUACACAUAAAAACUAAGUCCAAGUGAAACAUUUGUCUUUGAUCUGACAAACUGAAAUGCAAUGUGUCUUUCCACAGAUGUCAAAAUGUCAAUGUGUUUCAUGCUGGUUGAAAAUAGUUAAAUGAAACAUUCAGAGAUAGCAGGAUCACCUACUUUUAGUAUAGUCUUAUCCUCAAAACAUUUUGGUAUUUAGUCACUUUUGUUUCUGAAGAGGAUAAAAAUAAUGUAUCAAGUUUUCUGGCUGAUCCUCAGUUACAAUUUGACCACUUAGAUUAUAAGUAACAAACUACCAGACAGCAAUCCUCAUGGAGUCUCAAAAUACUGAUUUUGAAAACAAAAGACAUUGUGGACAGUAGAUCUGAGGAAGAUACAUAGUAUCCUUUGUAUGCAACAAAUAAAUUGAAUUUCUGAUUUAAACCUGAAA